UACGUAGGGGCCUAGCGUUGUCCGGAAUUAUUGGGCGUAAAGAGCUCGUAGGUGGUUCGGCAAGUCGGAUGUGAAAUCUCCACGCUUAACGUGGAGGGGCCAUUCGAACUGCGUUGCUUGAGGCCGGGAGAGGUGAGUGGAAUUCCCAGUGUAGCGGUGAAAUGCGUAGAUAUCGUAAGGAAGACCAGUGGCGAAGGCGGGUCUCUGGACAGUUCCUGACGCUGAGGCACGAAGGUCAGGGGAGCAAACGGG
rnacentral:rRNA from 1 species